AGUGAACGCUGGCGGUAGGCCUAACACAUGCAAGUCGAACGGCAGCACAGUAAGAGCUUGCUCUUACGGGUGGCGAGUGGCGGACGGGUGAGGAAUACAUCGGAAUCUACUUUUUCGUGGGGGAUCACGUAGGGAAACUUACGCUAAUACCGCAUACGACCUACGGGUGAAAGCAGGGGAUCUUCGGACCUUGCGCGAUUGAAUGAGCCGAUGUCGGAUUAGCUAGUUGGCGGGGUAAAGGCCCACCAAGGCGACGAUCCGUAGCUGGUCUGGGAGGAUGAUCAGCCACACUGGAACUUAGACACGGUCCAGACUCCUACGGGAGGCAGCAGUGGGGAAUAUUGGACAAUGGUCGCAAGCCUGAUCCAGCCAUACCGCGUGGGUGAAGAAGGCCUUCGGGUUGUAAAGCCCUUUUGUUGGGAAAGAAAAGCAGCAGGUUAAUACCCCGCUGUUCUGACGGUACCCAAAGAAUAAGCACCGGCUAACUUCGUG
rnacentral:rRNA from 1 species